rnacentral:rRNA from 1 species
UACAGAGGUCCCAAGCGUUGUUCGGAUUCACUGGGCGUAAAGGGUGCGUAGGUGGCCAGGUAAGUUUGAUGUGAAAGCUCGGAGCUUAACUCCGAAAUGGCAUUGAAUACUAUCGGGCUUGAGGGUCGGAGGGGAGACUGGAAUUCUCGGUGUAGCAGUGAAAUGCGUAGAUAUCGAGAGGAACACCAGUGGCGAAGGCGAGUCUCUGGACGACACCUGACACUGAGGCACGAAAGCUAGGGGAGCAAACAGG